UGGGGAAUCUUGGACAAUGGGCGCAAGCCUGAUCCAGCCAUGCCGCGUGAGUGAUGAAGGCCCUAGGGUUGUAAAACUCUUUCGUGGGGGACGAUAAUGACGGUACCCCAAGAAGAAGCUCCGGCUAACUUCGUGCCAGCAGCCGCGGUAAUACGAAGGGGGCUAGCGUUGUUCGGAUUUACUGGGCGUAAAGCGCGUGUAGGCGGGUCGUUAAGUUGGGGGUGAAAUCCCGGAGCUCAACUCCGGAACUGCCUUCAAAACUGGCGACCUGGACUCAAGCAGAGGCAAGUGGAAUUGCGAGUGUAGAGGUGAAAUUCGUAGAUAUUCGCAGGAACACCAGUGGCGAAGGCGACUUGCUGGGCUUGUAGUGACGCUGAGACGCGAAAGCGUGGGGAGCAAACAGG
rnacentral:rRNA from 1 species